rnacentral:snoRNA from 1 species
AUACCAUGAUAAGGGCUUUUUUGUAAUAACUCUUUAAACAGUUCCCAUUCCUCAUACAAGGACUCUUCAUUGGAUUGCUGAAACAUAGUAAUUUCAUAUCUAAGCUU